CUGCAAAAUGUCUAACCUUUACAGUUAUUGUUUCUUGUACUCUAACCUAACAGUAGGCAGUAUACAGGAAAACAUCGAGGCUUAGAAAAUAUUCACACUGAUAACAAUAUCAAUGAGUAUGAUGACGCAGAAUUGAGACCAGGUUGCGCAAUUUGCUGUGGACGGUGAAAAUGAGUCUAGGAUGAUGUUGAUGAAACCGUCGUAGUAAACGAAGGACAGAAAAAUUUAUAUGACAUUUCUUAUGAUAACAGUUAUCACCAGAAGUCUCCAUGUCGUUUGGGUGCUGAGAGCUCGUUAAAGCGACCACUAAAUGACGAAGUGUCUAUUAUGUUCUAUGAAAGGUUCAAUCCUUCGACGUCAUAAUCAAAUGAUGACGUUUGUAACGAAUUUUUUAUUGAUUUCGUCAUUAGACUCAGCAACGAGUUAAUCGUGAGUAGAGAGAGAAAGAGAGGAAUGAUAUUUUUCUAGUCUCCAAUAUCUCGCGAAGGUUUUCCCUGGCAGACAUCUUCGCAAAAUGCACCAGUUAUGUAAUUACACGGAUUUAAUUCCUGUUCCAAUGAAGGACGACGGUAAUAUUCAUAAGAGUCACAUUCCCUUUCUGGCAAUGCUCCUUAAAGAUAUGAAAUUGGCCAAUGAUUAUUAACUCCGAUUUAAUUACUGUGAUGAUAAGCAACUGACAUGUGUGUAUACUAGCUUUUAAACAGGAAGUAUAUUUACGAACUAUAUUUCUUCAGAAAUGCUUGAAUAUAUUUUCAGAUAAUCAUAUUCCUUUUGUCGUUAUUUCAUAUAUUGUAACGUGACAUUACCACGUUACAACCAUUCAUCUAUUAAUUGAUGAAUGUGCAUUAAUUAAAAGUUCCACUAAUUGUCUGCAAAGUUACUUUUUAAUGUCAUAAACAUCAGACCCCAAACGUUUUUAUAAACAACAGAUACCAAAUUGUAAUUGCAAUUGUUUGCAUUCUGGAUUAGGGCGUGGUAAACGAUAUUUCUUCAGAAAUCUCUGAAUGAAAUUUCAAAAAAUCAUAUUCCCCUUCUCGUUCUUUGAUAUAUAAUAACGUGAUAUUUAUUCCAGAUUCCGGGCUCCUCGUUAUUCUUCAAAAAGUAUGUAAAAUUGAAUUAAUUAGUAUCUCUUUGUCGCUCGAUUGUUAAACCAUUUUAUUUUUACGUACUAAGGAUCGAGUCAUUGAUUUAUUAUGACCUGACAAGACACCACAAAUUAUCCGACGAAUACAGCUAGUAUGCGCUAUUUAACAUGAAGAUCGUGCCACUUGAUAACAUCCCAGCUACUUUGUAUGCGUGCUGACGACAAAAAAGACAUCUGUAUUCUUGACGGACUGUGAAUUACCAAAUACGUCGAACAAUUCGGCGGUUUAAAAUAUGCAUGCGAUUGUGCGAGUGGGGAAGCUGGUGUUUGCUAUGCAUUUACAUGAAAUUGACGCUAGUGGCCAUGUGAUUAAAGAGCUAGACUAGUAUGUAACUGAUCCAGAUUCGAUUCCCGGUGACGGUCAAAAUUUGUAGCGCCCUAAUCGAACAGUUUCACGACCGAGGGCUUUAACCAGCUCUAGUUGCACACUUUAGACAGAAAAUUAGACCUCCAGGGGGUGAAAUGAGGGACCAAUGUUAGUUUUAUCCGGAAAACUAGCCCCUCAAGUAUAAUUUUUCUAACAAAACUUGACCUAAAAAGUGGUUCAUUGUCAUUUCCUCCCACGUUUUGUCCUCUAGAGGUCUAGUUUUUAUCUCCAAUUUCUUUCC